GACGAACGCUGGCGGCGUGCUUAACACAUGCAAGUCGAACGAUGAAGCCUAGCUCGCUAGGUGGAUUAGUGGCGAACGGGUGAGUAAUACGUGAGUAACCUACCUUUAACUCUGGGAUAAGCCCGGGAAACUGGGUCUAAUACCGGAUACGACCAAUCUCCGCAUGGGGUGUUGGUGGAAAGCGUUAUGUAGUGGUUAUAGAUGGGCUCACGGCCUAUCAGCUUGUUGGUGAGGUAACGGCUCACCAAGGCGACGACGGGUAGCCGGCCUGAGAGGGUGACCGGCCACACUGGGACUGAGACACGGCCCAGACUCCUACGGGAGGCAGCAGUGGGGAAUAUUGCACAAUGGGCGCAAGCCUGAUGCAGCGACGCCGCGUGAGGGAUGACGGCCUUCGGGUUGUAAACCUCUGUUAGCAGGGAAGAAGAGAGAUUGACGGUACCUGCAGAGAAAGCGCCGGCUAACUACGUGCCAGCAGCCGCGGUAAUACGUAGGGCGCGAGCGUUGUCCGGAAUUAUUGGGCGUAAAGAGCUUGUAGGCGGUUUGUCGCGUCUGCUGUGAAAGGCCGGGGCUUAACUCCGUGUAUUGCAGUGGGUACGGGCAGACUAGAGUGCAGUAGGGAGACUGGAAUUCCUGGUGUAGCGGUGGAAUGCGCAGAUAUCAGGAGGAACACCGAUGGCGAAGGCAGGUCUCUGGGCUGUAACUGACGCUGAGAAGCGAAAGCAUGGGGAGCGAACAGGAUUAGAUACCCUGGUAGUCCAUGCCGUAAACGUUGGGCACUAGGUGUGGGGAACAUUCCACGUUUUCCGCGCCGUAGCUAACGCAUUAAGUGCCCCGCCUGGGGAGUACGGCCGCAAGGCUAAAACUCAAAGAAAUUGACGGGGGCCCGCACAAGCGGCGGAGCAUGCGGAUUAAUUCGAUGCAACGCGAAGAACCUUACCAAGGCUUGACAUAUACUGGACCGCAUCAGAGAUGGUGUUUCCCUUCGGGGCUGGUAUACAGGUGGUGCAUGGUUGUCGUCAGCUCGUGUCGUGAGAUGUUGGGUUAAGUCCCGCAACGAGCGCAACCCUCGUUCUAUGUUGCCAGCACGUAAUGGUGGGGACUCAUAGGAGACUGCCGGGGUCAACUCGGAGGAAGGUGGGGAUGACGUCAAAUCAUCAUGCCCCUUAUGUCUUGGGCUUCACGCAUGCUACAAUGGCCGGUACAGAGGGUUGCGAUACUGUGAGGUGGAACUAAUCCCUAAAAGCCGGUCUCAGUUCGGAUUGGGGUCUGCAACUCGACCCCAUGAAGUCGGAGUCGCUAGUAAUCGCAGAUCAGCAACGCUGCGGUGAAUACGUUCCCGGGCCU
rnacentral:rRNA from 1 species